GUCGUAAUUAACGGCUCCCAGCCAUCAGUCGCCAUUACUUUUUGCAAACACAAGGGCGAUUGGACUUGGAUAAACUUCAAGCACGCCUCCUUCAAUCCGCGGCAGUGGCGCUGCUCAGCUAGAGCAAGAGUGGAGGCCACCGAGGUCACACCUAUGCGCUCAGACAAUCGCUUUUCACAGAUAAACUUGAGGCGCUGGAGAUCAUAUCUGUCUGCUGCUACAAGCAAGUCUUGUAGCCAUUGCAGCUCCGUUGCAUCCUCUGCUGCAUCCUCUCCUUGUCCUUGUUCCGCAACUUCUGCCAUUUCAUCCUCUGCUGCUUCCUCUUCUUGUCCUUCUUCCAUGGCCUCUCCUUCGUCCUCCUCCAUGUCGUCCUCCUCCAAUAGAGGGAUGCCCUCCUUCAUGGGGCCAAAGAAUUGUGCCAUGAAGACUUUUGAUCGGGCUGCAAGCACAAAUCGG
rnacentral:rRNA from 1 species